GGAAGGAUUUGGAGAGCGGAGGAAUGAAGGAGAGCAGAGAGGAGAGGCUUGGAGAUGAAGAAACCAAGGCCCAGGGACUUCAAGCAACCAUAAGCAACAGCCAAUAAGCAGAAGAGCCUCUUCUGCACUGACUUGUAUGGACUUCCAGCCUUGCUCAUUUUCCUUUUGCAGCCUCAACCUUAUCUAGAUUUUAAGAGACAGCCCUUUUUGUACUUCCUCCCACCCCGCACCCUCACCUCUUACUCUUAUUAAGUUUAAAGUGCAAAAAUGAUGCAAUUAAAACCUAUAUUGC
ensembl:lncRNA LINC00595 long intergenic non-protein coding RNA 595